GUACACUCCUACGGGAGGCAGCAGUGGGGAAUAUUGAACAAUGGGCGCAAGCCUGAUCCAGCCAUGCCGCGUGAGUGAUGAAGGCCCUAGGGUUGUAAAGCUCUUUCACCGGUGAAGAUAAUGACGGUAACCGGAGAAGAAGCCCCGGCUAACUUCGUGCCAGCAGCCGCGGUAAUACGAAGGGGGCUAGCGUUGUUCGGAUUUACUGGGCGUAACGCGCACGUAGGCGGACUAUUAAGUCAGGGGUGAAAUCCCGGGGCUCAACCCCGGAACUGCCUUUGAUACUGGUAGUCUUGAGUUCGAGAGAGGUGAGUGGAAUUCCGAGUGUAGAGGUGAAAUUCGUAGAUAUUCGGAGGAACACCAGUGGCGAAGGCGGCUCACUGGCUCGAUACUGACGCUGAGGUGCGAAAGCGUGGGGAGCAAACAGGAUUAGAAACCCGUGUAGUCC
rnacentral:rRNA from 1 species